rnacentral:tRNA from 1 species
GUGACUUUAGUUUAUUAUGAUAGAAUAUUGGUUUGUCUAACCAGAGGGGGCGUUGAGCUGAGUUACU